UUUCUGCAAGGUGCUGCAUGGUUGUCGUCAGCUCGUGCCGUGAGGUGUCGGGUUAAGUCCCAUAACGAGCGCAACCCUUAUCGUUAGUUGCCAUCUGGUAAUGCAGGGGACUCUAGCGAAACUGCCACCGUAAGGUGAGAGGAAGGUGGGGAUGACGUCAAAUCAGCACGGCCCUUAUGUCCAGGGCUACACACGUGUUACAAUGGUCGGUACAGAGGGCAGCUACCUGGUGACAGGAUGCUAAUCUCGAAAACCGGUCUCAGUUCGGAUCGAAGUCUGCAACUCGACUUCGUGAAGCUGGAUUCGCUAGUAAUCGCGCAUCAGCUAUGGCGCGGUGAAUACGUUCCCGGGCCUU
rnacentral:rRNA from 1 species